rnacentral:rRNA from 1 species
AACAGGAUUAGAUACCCUGGUAGUCCACGCCGUAAACGAUGUCGACUUGGAGGUUGUUCCCUUGAGGAGUGGCUUCCGGAGCUAACGCGUUAAGUCGACCGCCUGGGGAGUACGGCCGCAAGGUUAAAACUCAAAUGAAUUGACGGGGGCCCGCACAAGCGGUGGAGCAUGUGGUUUAAUUCGAUGCAACGCGAAGAACCUUACCUACUCUUGACAUCCAGAGAACUUAGCAGAGAUGCUUUGGUGCCUUCGGGAACUCUGAGACAGGUGCUGCAUGGCUGUCGUCAGCUCGUGUUGUGAAAUGUUGGGUUAAGUCCCGCAACGAGCGCAACCCUUAUCCUUUGUUGCCAGCGGUUCGGCCGGGAACUCAAAGGAGACUGCCAGUGAUAAACUGGAGGAAGGUGGGGAUGACGUCAAGUCAUCAUGGCCCUUACGAGUAGGGCUACACACGUGCUACAAUGGCGCAUACAAAGAGAAGCGACCUCGCGAGAGCAAGCGGACCUCAUAAAGUGCGUCGUAGUCCGGAUCGGAGUCUGCAACUCGACUCCGUGAAGUCGGAAUCGCUAGUAAUCGUAGAUCAGAAUGCUACGGUGAAUACAUUCCCGGGCCUUGUACACACCGCCCGUCACACCAUGGGAGUGGGUUGCAAAAGAAGUAGGUAGCUUAACCUUCGGGAGGGCGCUUACCACUUUGUGAUUCAUGACUGGGGUGAAGUCGUAACAAGGUAACC